GAGUCAACACCUUAAAAUUUUUUUCUCACACCAUCAACUACCAAGCAAGAGCUGUGUCUGUCUGUCUCUGUCUCUGUCUCUGUCUCUGUCUCUGUCUCUCUCUCUCUCUCUCUCUCUCUCUCUCCAUCAAGGAUGUUUUGCUGUUUUGUUUAUCCCUCUGAGGAUUGGAUGAGGACACUUUUCUUGACUCCCUGAGCUCCAACCCUCCAUCAUGAACCCUUGGCCUCCGGUGGCAGAGGAAAUCUCCCUGGGUCACGUCCCUAUUAUAUUAGCAUCUCAGCCACCGCUCCAGAGGUGCGCGCGAACCACGAAGGGUUGUUUGCAGAGUCCCGCAGCAGGUGUCACGGGCAGGGAAGGGACAGCAAGGACUCCGAAGCACCAGGGUGGGGAAUGACAGAUGGACCCGCGGCGCGAAGUGAGACGCCCUGAACCUGUCAGCUCCCGCUGUCACCUGCUGGGAAGGACCGGGCAGGCUGAGGGUAGCGGCGGUCCGGGACAAGCGCUUCCCGAGGUGAAGCGCCCCCUGAGGACACCGUCCGCCGCACCAGCCGGCCGACCCAGACCCGCUCCUCUGCGCGUGCGCACCGUCCCCGCCUCGAGCGCCUAAAGUCCCGCCCCACCGGGAGGGCACGCUGGGGUCGCCGACGUGAUGCGUGGAGAAUCUCAGCCAAUGAGAGGAAGAAGGCGGGACAAAUGCAGCGAGGAGGGCCCUGUGCAGCUUCUCUGAACUCCACCCCUCCCGGCCGCAUAAAGCUUCGUCCAUCCCAGGCGAUUCAGCCCCUAAAAGCGCAAGCCUAGUGUCUUCUUUCUACUGUAAACUCACGUUUACUGGGAAAAUUACAUCUUUGUUGAAGACUGUACAAAGUGACUGACUGUCUAGAACUUUACCAUUACGGAGAGAUGAUGAUCAGUAACCAAGAUUAUCUUGGACUAUCUUUAGGUUCUUUAAAAAAACUGCUUAUUACCAACCUUUGUAGCUGACCUAAGAUCUUUGUGCCUGUUAUGUAAAAAGUUUGGAAUGUAUUGUUAAACUUAGCCAACGACUGGCUUUUCAGCAGUGCUCAAAAGAAGAGUAUCAUCAGCUGGAGAUUUUCCUGCUAUGCUGUAGCCUACCUCCCCGAUGUCCUUUCCGCUAUAUUUGGCAAAUGUAUUGAUUUAUGGUCUUUUGUUCUAUGGCUAUAAGACUGCGUGUAAACCUCUUUCACAGUAGAACAUGUAAUUCUGGGAAACCCGAAUCUCUGUUACUAAGCACUAUUCACUCAAAGUUGCCUCAGAAUAAACUUUCUUUUGGUUUUUGUUU